UACGUAGGGUGCAAGCGUUGUCCGGAAUUAUUGGGCGUAAAGAGCGUGUAGGCGGCCCGAUUAGUCCGCUGUGAAAGUCCAGGGCUCAACCCUGGAAUGCCGGUGGAUACUGUCGGGCUAGAGUCCGGAAGGGGCGAGUGGAAUUCCUGGUGUAGCGGUGAAAUGCGUAGAUAUCAGGAGGAACACCGGUGGUGUAGACGGCUUUCUGGACCGUAACUGACGCUGAGGCACGAAAGCUAGGGUAGCGAACGGG
rnacentral:rRNA from 1 species